AUGGACAUGAACAUGAGCCGCCUGAGGCCCCAGAACUAUCUUGUCGGUUGUGAACUAAAGGCCGACAAAGAUUAUCACUUUAAGGUGGAUAAUGAUGAAAAUGAGCACCAGUCAUCCUUAAGCAGGGUCAGUUUAGGGGCUGGUGCAAAGGGUGAAUUACGCAUUGUUGAAGCGGAGGCAAUGAAUCACGAAGGCAGUCCAGGUAAAGCAACACUGGCAGCUUUGAAAAUGUCUAUACAGCCAACGGUUUCCCUUGGGGGCUUUGAAAUAACACCACCAGUGCUCUUACAAUUGAAGUGUGGUUCUGGGCCAGUGCGUAUUAGUGGACAGCACUUAGUAGCUGUGGGGGAAAAUGAAGAGUCAGAAGAUGAAGAGAAUGUGAAACUCUGAAAGCUGUCUACCCCUGGAGGUGGUAGCAAGUUUCCACAGAAAAAAGUAAAACUUGCUGCUGAUGAAAAUGAUAAUGAUGAGGAUGAGGAUGAUGAGGAAACUGAAGAAAAAGCACCAGUGAAGAAAUCUAUACUCGAUACUCCAGCCAAAAAUGCACAAAAGUCAAAUCAGAAUGCAAAAGACCCAAAACCGUCAUCAACACCAGGAUCAAAAGGACAAGAAUCCUUCAAAACACAGGAAAAAACUCCGAAAACACCAAAAGGACCUAGUUCUAUAGAAGACAUUAAAGCAAAAAUGCAAGCAAGUAUAGAAAAAGGUGGUUCUCUUCUCAAAGUGGAAGCCAAGUUCAUCAGUUAUGUGAAAGACUGCGUCCGGAUGACUGACCAGGGGGCUAUUCAAGAUCUCGGACAGUGGAGGCGGUCUCUUUAAGAAAAUAAUUUAAACAAUUUGUUAAAAAUUUCCAUCUUAUUUCAUUUCUGUAACAGUUGAUAUCUGGCUGUCCUUUUUAUAAUGCAGAGUGAGAACUUUCCCUACUGUGUUUGAUAAAUGUUGUCCAGGUUCCAUUGCCAAGAAUGUGUUGUCCAAAAUGCCUGUAGUUUUUAAAGACGGAACUCCACCCUUUGCCUGGUUUUAAGUAUGUGUGGAGUGUUAUAACAGGACAUAGCAGUAGCGGUGGUCAGACAUGGAAAU